GCCGACUUGAAAGCAUACUCUGUAUAUUCAUAAAAUUUGUAUAUGUGCUCUCUCUCUCUCUCUCUCUCUCUCUCUCUCUCUCUCUCUUUUCAUCUCAACUAUGUUACUCUGUUUUGAUAUUUGUUUGAUCCAGUGUUAUAUCUAAUUCUUCAUCUCACUUCCAGUAACCGGUAAGGAGAGAUGAAGCAUAUAAAUAAUUAGUUCAUCAAUCAGUGGAAUUGGCACAUCAAUCCAUCUUCUUCCACUGUCUUGAAUUGGCAUAUAGAUAGAUAUUGACCUAACACUUCUCUGGUCUUAAAGAAGUAUCCUAACCUUAUAAUAGAUUUGACUCGAGUCUGAAACAACUUUGUGUGUAUGAAAUUGAUGCAGGUGAAAGUACCCGGAGAUAUCAGUAGAAAUAACAAAUAUAUGGAGUCAAUUUGGGAGCUGCAUUGGAUGAGAUGUGAAGCAGUAAUUAGGGGGCUUAUACAGGAGACGGGGCAGUACUAGAAAGCAGCUUUUUGUGCAAUUACAACAUUGUAAGUAGUUUCGUUAUGUCUUGCCAUAUCUAUAUUUAAUUAGUAGUACACAAACCAACGAUGAAAAAUGAAGAUUCAAGCAUUUUUUUUAUUUUUUAUUAAAAUUUAUAGUUUUUUUUUUAUAAGAGUAGUCUCUCAUGUUUAGUGUUUUCACUGGGUUAAGUGUGGAUUUUAGAAAUUGUUCUGUAGGGAUGAUGAGUACUUUUGUAUAUUUCUCUAUGAUUAUGUUUUGAAAGUGGAUUUAUUGAGUGACGUUUUGGGUGUUUGGGUUUUCACGGUAGUAGAAUGCAAUGGUGGAUUUUUGUUGGUUGGGAACGGUAAAGAAAAAGUUGAAGCAGAAACAAUGUAACAUCUGACCCUGGAGAUCAUUGGGGCUGGGAAGAAGAAGCUUUAUGAAGCAAAAGUGUAGGUGAAGCCAAGGUUGAACUUGAAGGACUUGCAGGAGUUCAAGCCUGCCGGUGAUGCUGCCCCUACCAUCACUCCUUCCUAUCUUGGCUGCAAAUAAGCAAAGGAGUUCAAAAUGAUCUCACCCCGAGAAAGUCAUCUAUAAAGCUGAUUGAUCCUAAGCGAGCUCACCAAAUUAGCAGAAGCGGUAGAUGAGGUAGAUGAAGAGAGCAAAGUAGAGACAGUAAUGGUGACAAUGAUCUCUUUACAGAGUGUACGGAAAUAGUGGCAGUGACUACAUCAGAAAAUACUCCAAAAAUAAGUGGAUGACUUCAACGUACCAAGCUUUUGUGUUUCCAUGUCCAACAGUGUAUGAAUUUUCGUUUGUCAAUUCGUUUUUUCUUAACUUUAUAAAAAAUUCCUUUUUUAUUA